GACGAACGCUGGCGGCGUGCUUAACACAUGCAAGUCGAACGAUGAAGAAAAGAAUCGAAGCUUCGGCAGAAAUUCAUUUCGGAUUAGUGGCAGACGGGUGAGUAACGCGUGAGCAACCUACCUCUUACAAAGGGAUAGCCUCGGGAAACCGGGAUUAAUACCAUAUAACAUUGCGACGAAGCAUUUCGAUGCAAUCAAAGCUACGGCGGUAAGAGAUGGGCUCGCGUCCCAUUAACCGGAUGGUGAGGUAACGGCUCACCAUAGUGACGAUGGGUAACCGGCCUGAGAGGGUGAACGGUCACACUGGAACUGAGACACGGUCCAGACUCCUACGGGAGGCAGCAGUGGGGAAUAUUGCAAAAUGGAGGGAACUCUGAUGCAGCGACGCCGCGUGAGUGAUGAAGGAAUUCGUUUCGUAAAACUCUGUUCUAUGGGAAGAAAAGGACUGUACCAUAGGAGAAAGCUCCGGCUAAAUACGUG
rnacentral:rRNA from 1 species